rnacentral:lncRNA from 1 species
UGGGGGACUUUAACGCCCACGUGGGCAGCGACAGUGAUACCUGGAGGGGCGUGAUUGGGAGGAACGGCCUCCCUGAUCUGAACCCGAGCGGUGAGUUGUUAUUGGAUUUCUGUGCUAGUCGCGGUUUAUCCAUAACGAACACCAUGUUCAUGCAUAAGGGUGUCCACCAGUGCACUUGGCACCAGGACACCCUAGGUCGGAGGUCGAUGAUCGACUUUGUAGUCGUUUCUUCUGACCUUCGGCCAUAUGUUUUGGACACUCGGGUGAAGAGAGGGGCUGAGCUGUCAACUGAUCACCACCUGGUGGUGAGUUGGAUUCGAUGGCGGGGGAAAAAGCUGGACAGACCUGGCAGGCCCAAACGCAUAGUGAGGGUCUGUUGGGAACGUUUGGCGGAGGCCCCUGUCAGAGAGGUCUUCAACUCCCACCUCCGACAGAGCUUCAACCAGGUCCCGAGGGAGGUGGGGGACAUUGAGUCUGAAUGGACUAUGUUCCGCUCCUCCAUUGUCGGUGCGGCUGUCCGGAGCUGCGGCCAUAAGGUCUCCGGUGCCUGUCGCGGCGGCAAUCCCCGAACACGGUGGUGGACACCGGAAGUAAGGGAUGCCGUCAAGCUGAAGAAGGAGUUCUAUCGGGCCUGGCUGGCUCAUGGGACUCCUGAAGCAGCUGACAGAUACCGACGGGCCAAACGGAGCGCGGCUCUGGCAGUCGCCGCGGCAAAAACUCGGGCUUGGGAGGAGUUCGGUGAGGCCAUGGAGGAAGACUUUCGGUCGGCCUCAAAGAGAUUCUGGCAAACCGUCCGGCGACUCAGAGGGGGGAAGCGGUGUUCCACGAACACUGUUUACAGUGGAAGUGGUGCGCUGCUGACCUCAGCUGAGGAUGUUCUCGGGCGGUGGAAGGAGUACUUUGAGGAUCUCCUCAAUCCCUCCGACACGCCUUCCGUAGAGGAAGCUGAGGCUGGGGACUUGGAGGGGGACUCGUCCAUUACCCUGGCUGAAGUUGCUGAGGUAGUCAAAAAACUCC